GUAGCAUCUGACUCUCUCCCCGGUCCUGAGGCCUCACUUCGCCCCCACCCAGAAAACGCCCUCGCUCUCCACCCUCACCUUACACCGGCGGGAGAGGAGCGUGCUUCUCCGCUCGCUGAAAUCUCGCGGCUCCUGCUGGUUGAUGUUCUGCUCCGGGCCUGGCACAGCAAGAGGCCAGAGGGGGGAGGCCGGUGGUAGGUAGGCUUCUGCUUCUCCGUCGUCCUCGCCGGGUCGAGCGGAUUCUCUUGGCCGGUGUGCUGCUCUGAUGCCGUCUUCCCCGUGCGUACUCAACACUGCACAGGUCUUUUUUAUCCAUCGAAACCCUAACUAAUAGCUGCACUUUAGAGUAAGAUAUUCUAUUAGCUUUGCGUGCUUCCGAUCCAAUUAAUUCAUUGUUAGUUAAUCCAUGAGUUUCCAAGUGUGUGUAAUUAGCCCAUGGUACAUGGAAGGUACUAUGUGCAGUUAGCCCUUCUUCCAGUUUGUUAUGACUUCUGACUGAUUAAUCAGCUAUGCAUCGAGUUAAUUAAUUCAUGACUUCCUUGCUUCUUUAUGAUAUUCGUGUUUGGAGUGAGUGUAUCUACACACCUGCAGAGCUCUUGAAACAAAUGAGUAAGAACAGAUUGAUUAUUAAAUGCAUGGAAAGCUGCAAGAAAACCAAACGGCUAGAAAUCUGUAGGUGUGAAAGUAGAUUACGUGCAAAGAUCCUUUACAGAGAGCAUUAUGUCGUGACCAAAUUCUUGGUCUAAUCCUGCAUAUCUAUAAGCGGUUGUUCAGUUUUGCUUUUAGUACUGAAUCGAACUUAAUUUUCUUCACGAUGUCCAUCAUUUCGUUGUUUCUAUUGCUCUAUACUAAUGUUUAUGAUUACACUAUCCCAAUAAAGCUGAACUUGAAAUGGAUUAAAAUGAUUAACUCGUGUAGCAACUGCUUUAUCCCCCAAUAAAACAUAGUUUCAGAUGAUUGAAUUAUGUUACAGUUUUUUUGUUUCCAUGAUUAAAAAACUGCUUUCGUGUCUAUCCUGACAUUAUGAGUUUUGCUUUUCAUUAAACUACAAUAGAGAUGGACACUGAGAAUGGUUUUCUUGCUGCUAAGCUAACUGAUGAUCUAGUCGUGGAGAUCCUCUCCCGGCUGCCGUUCAAGUCUUUUUGCCGCUUCAAAUGUGUCUGCAAGGCCUGGCUUGCCUUCUCCUCUAAUCCAGACUACUGCAAGAAGCUUUUGAAAAUUCCGAUGGGUCUUCUGUAUCAACGCCGUUAUGAUGAAUUUGAUAAUGAUUUCGAUGACUCUGCUAUCAAGCUUGCUAGCCUGCCCCACAAUGAUAAGGAAUUUGAUGAAGCUCUUAGUUUCCUACCACAAUAUGAGCAGUUAGAGCUGAUGGACUCUUGCAAUGGCCUGGUCCUUUGUAAGUACAAGAGCAGCUGUACUCCUUUUGGUAUUUGCCGCUUCAUCGUGUGCAAUCUGGCAACACGAGAGUGGAAGGUGCUCCCUGAUACUCCUCCUAGCGAUUAUGACCCAUCAUGGUCGACAAAGUUCUAUAUCUUCAACUUUCAACGGCUGAGUACCCGCUAUUGGGCAUUUGGCCCCGUCAAACUUCAGGUGUUCUCGUCUGACCUUAACACCCGGUUCCUGGACGAUACAUCAGUGCUCUCUGAGACAAAAGUUUAUCGACUACACAUGUUUAUAGAUGGAGCAUUGUAUGUGCACACAGGUUUGCAUGACAUUCUGGUACUGAAGAGCUUGGAGGAAACUAGUUCUGGCAUUCCGCCGUCUCUUCGGACUAUUAAGUUGCCGCAUGAAGACGGCGCUUUUAUGGGUAGGUUUGGCCAAUGUUGCUUCGGCCAAUCUUCGGGGGCCUUGCACUACGCAUUGCCAGAGGAGGAUGCUCGUGCGAUUCUUGUUUGGAGUCUUGAUGCUGAUGAGCCUUAUGAGUGGAGCCUCAAGUACCGCCUCAAUAUGAGCCAAGCAUUCGGAAGGGACAACCUUCGUCAGCAUGAUGCACGCCACUGGAAAUGCGACUAUGCUGUCGUCUCUCUUGACCUGGAGAGAGAUGGUAUUUUCCUGUUUGACAAACGGGAGGACAAGAUUCGUUUGUACAAAAUAAGCACCGGUGAACUUACUGACAUUCAACCAGAAGACCACCGCUCCCGCUUUUUGAAUAACAAGUACUAUCAUUAUGUGGCAUCCUACUCAAAGCUCCCAGCUUUAACCGUGUAGUCGAUACCAUCUUUGUUUGGCUUUUGAGCGUGACACCUCUUUAUGCUGUCAAAAAAUGCAGAGGCAGUUCUUUUCUAAGUUAAUUGCUAUUUAUGGACUGUAAUCUAGGACCAUUUUUUUGUUUUCUUGAACCUUUUCCAUUUGAGUACCAAAUAUUAAUGAGGCUAGCUCUAUUCUGUCGUCAUGUAAACUGAUUGUAGCAGCAGCUGCAUGUAAGCUGGGAGCCCUAUGUAUUCUGCCCUAGCCAUCUCUCUGCAAUUUCUCAGGGAAGAUGCUGAAUUUCUUGGAAAUACUAGAGUGUGUGCUCUGUGACAUCUGUC
rnacentral:rRNA from 1 species